UACAUUCUUGUUAUCUAGUUGCUUCGGCUAUUGCACUUCAUCCUAGGGUUGCAUUACCUUUAGAGAAUUUAGUAAACCCUAGGUUAAGUGUUUGUAUCUUUCUAGAAAAGAAAAAAAAAGAUUAAAAUUUGUUAGUCGCCUAUUCAUCCCCCCUCUAGCCGACCAUACCAAUCUUUCACCUGACCUCUGCAUAACAAAGAUGCACACAGCGAAAGGGAAAUCAAACAAAGCAUCAGCGAUGUUGCUAUCUCUUUGACGAUCCUUAGACUAAAACGUCAGCUAUAGCUUAUGGUUUCUUGUCUCGCCUAUAAAAGACCCCGAAGCGGUCGUCUUAGGAAGUAGCAAAACUCACAAACACGCUUCAUCAACUAUCGAGAGCGCUCGUAGACGCAGUCACGGCCGACCACCUCUUCGUCGCUUUCAGUUGCUGCCUCGCCGUCACAACAUGCAUGUUGCCUCAUCCACUUCUUUUUCGUCGAUGACCACUCGAUCCGGAAGCUCAAUCAUGCAGAUAUCUGACCGAACUCCAACACCAUCAGCUCGUUGUCUUUUUUGUAUAUCCCCAUCCUCGUCGUCUUCUUCGUAAGAUUACAGAGGUAUUCCAAGUAAGAAUGGACGAUGUACAUUUUUUUCUUCAUUUCUUCAACUACCUUCUUCACCAUCUCUUGAUCUUUUCUUUUCCUCUGCCUUCCUUUCUUCUUCCACGGCUUGCUUUUUCUUUCUUCUUCCACAACUUGCUUCUCUUCGUCUUUUCAGAUGAUCUCCUCUUCUCCAUCACCUCAACUACUCCGCGGCACUAGCGAUCGACAUUUCUAUGUGUACACUAUCUUGUAUGGAAUGCAAUGAAAUGAAUUCAAUCUUGUAUGAAG
rnacentral:lncRNA from 1 species